UACGAAGGGGGCUAGCGUUGCUCGGAAUCACUGGGCGUAAAGCGCACGUAGGCGGACUCUUCAGUCGGUGGUGAAAUCCUGGAGCUCAACUCCAGAACUGCCUUCGAUACUGGGAGUCUCGAGUCCGGGAGAGGUGAGUGGAACUGCGAGUGUAGAGGUGAAAUUCGUAGAUAUUCGCAAGAACACCAGUGGCGAAGGCGGCUCACUGGCCCGGUACUGACGCUGAGGUGCGAAAGCGUGGGGAGCAAACAGG
rnacentral:rRNA from 1 species